rfam:Gossypium hirsutum cultivar TM-1 chromosome 21, whole genome shotgun sequence
UAUUAAAAAUUUUAUCUAUUUGUAUGGUUAAAAUUGGCAUGGUUAAUUGAUUAACCAAAUAUUGAUACGUGGUGUGUCUCGUAUACCUCGUGCUGAUAUAUAUGAACCAAUUUUUAAUAGUACAAAUAAAUAUUUAUAACA